rnacentral:rRNA from 1 species
GUUUGAUCCUGGCUCAGGAUGAACGCUAGCGGCAGGCUUACACAUGCAAGUCGAGGGGUAUAGUUCUUCGGAGCUAGAGACCGGCGCACGGGUGCGUAACGCGUAUGCAAUCUACCUUUUACAGAGGGAUAGCCCAGAGAAAUUUGGAUUAAUACCUCAUAGUAUAGCUGUACCGCAUGGUACUACUAUUAAAGUUACAACGGUAAAAGAUGAGCAUGCGUCCCAUUAGCUAGUUGGUAAGGUAACGGCUUACCAAGGCUACGAUGGGUAGGGGUCCUGAGAGGGAGAUCCCCCACACUGGUACUGAGACACGGACCAGACUCCUACGGGAGGCAGCAGUGAGGAAUAUUGGACAAUGGGCGCAAGCCUGAUCCAGCCAUGCCGCGUGCAGGAUGACGGUCCUAUGGAUUGUAAACUGCUUUUGCACAGGAAGAAACAACGCUACGUGUAGCGUCUUGACGGUACUGUGAGAAUAAGGAUCGGCUAACUCCGUGCCAGCAGCCGCGGUAAUACGGAGGAUCCAAGCGUUAUCCGGAAUCAUUGGGUUUAAAGGGUCCGUAGGCGGUUUAGUAAGUCAGUGGUGAAAGCCCAUCGCUCAACGGUGGAACGGCCAUUGAUACUGCUAGACUUGAAUUAUUAGGAAGUAACUAGAAUAUGUAGUGUAGCGGUGAAAUGCUUAGAGAUUACAUGGAAUACCAAUUGCGAAGGCAGGUUACUACUAAUGGAUUGACGCUGAUGGACGAAAGCGUGGGUAGCGAACAGGAUUAGAUACCCUGGUAGUCCACGCCGUAAACGAUGGAUACUAGCUGUUGGGGGCAACUUCAGUGGCUAAGCGAAAGUGAUAAGUAUCCCACCUGGGAGUACGUUCGCAAGAAUGAAACUCAAAGGAAUUGACG